GAGACUUAGAAAUGAACAUGAUAUUAAGAUGUGACGAUAAGACCUUUAUUACCUUUUGUAUGAGCUCCAUCCAGCAGCACACUGAAAGGGUUUUUUAAGAGGCUCUUUCUUCAGGUGCUCCUUCUGGUUUCUGGACUUGGCAGCAGCAGAGAAACAAUUGACGGCUCCAGAGUCCAGACAAGUUCCCAGGCAGCGGGUUGGAGAGGAAAUGAGGAUUAAAAGAUUAAGGAGGCCGCACCAAUUAGGGUUCCUCGUGAAGAGCCAGCGGAGGAGGUUUGUUAAGACCACAGCAGGAGCCCGCUGCCCCUGAGCUGCCCCUGAUAUUUGAUGCCAUCACUGUAAUCCUGUGUGAUUGUGAGGCCGGAAUCUUCCAGCAGACAUGUUAUGUUUAAAUACGUAAGUGACACACCAACGUGGGGAAAAACGAUGGAAAUAAGUGUAGUCGUGAAUCUGAUCACAGCAUGAAAAGCUGCGUUUUUGCCGGCAUGAUGUAUUAUCUGCUCAGUUUGUUCAUCCAAAGGGGUGACCUUUGACCCCGCCCGUUAGAAGCGAUGAAUAAGCUGUACUGCCCUCUGGUGGCAACACAACAAAUAUGAGAACAUUGAGGAAACUGCACAAUAAAGCAGGUAAAUGUGAGAGAACAUCAACACUUAAAUUAGUAAGUGAGCGCUUUACUUUUACACAGCAAAGUAAAAUCCACUUGGAUGAUGUCAGUGAACCUGGACCACGUGCGCGCACUCGCAGUGACGUCAGAGGAGAAUUUGCGCUCUUUUUUACUUUCGGCGACACGAGCGGGGAACCCGGGAAGCAACGGCAGAGUUUAAGGACUUUAACCGGAGUACAGAGACAUCCAGAUUUGACUCCUUGUCAAUGAUUCAAAUGGAAUAAACAACCUGCAAGCUUUAACAGCAACGCGCUCAAUGCAUCGUCCGUCCUCAGAUAUUUAUAUCCACCCCCAAAGAUGGCCCUGGGCAGGGUGGGGGGGUCCAUCAUGGUGGGCACACUCUGGACAGAGAGUCUCCACCUGGACUCUUCACUCAGUGGCAGCAGAGUAAGCGUUCAUCCUGGAGGUCGGGAGGCAACACACACACACACAUUUGUGCACUGACUUCACUGGAAUUAUUUAAGAAACUCUGAAAUAAUCAGAGGUUUUACUGUAGUUCAAUUGGCAGUACUUAUGUGUACAAAUACCCAAAUGUUCCAUUUAGUAAUUUGAAUAUAUGUGCAUAUACACGUGAAUUUAGGUACUUUGUGUUUCUUUCCUGGUGUCAGAGAAGAACAUUUUUAAAUUGCAGUUUAACAAAGUAAAAAUAAGUUUCUAAAAUAGUUUGUUAAAUUUCAUUCAGAUGAACAUAGUUUCAUUUUUCAAAUGAGGACACAAAAAUACUCUUGUGAAUAGUGAAGGCAGGUCACUGAUAUUUUGGAAAGGAAUUUGAUCAUUUUAACAGUAUUUUAUUUUGUGAAUAUUUCUGAUGUGAAAUUGGCUUUGAACGCAGCACCAUAUCAGAGGAGCCUAAUUUAAACCUGUGUGCUCCAGACAACAACAGGUGCCCCCUCCUCCCUUUAGUCUCCACCUGUCUUCCCUUCUCCGCGGCGGGCUGCCGACCCAGAAGGCAGCCGUCAUUUUUUAGCAGCGGUAUGCCGACCCGCCGGGGGGCUGCGCGGCGCGAACCCCCUCGGUCACCGGAUCGGCGGCAGCUGCUCGGCCCCCCGGAGCUAUUUUCACCCUCAGGAUAAGGUGAAGUUCAGCCGCCUGCCCUCACGGCCCCGGCUGCCCCAGUCCCACCACAGCAGAGCCAGGAUGAGGUCCACAGGCAGCGAGCGCAGCACGCAGCCCGACGGCUUCGCCUCCGACCUGGACGACCUGGACAGCGACAGCUCCGACGGCGACUGCAGCCCCCGCGGGGAGCCGGCAGCGGGGGAGGCCGGAGGCGGCUCCCGGAGAGGCAGGCGCAGGAGGAGGCGGAGACGCGGCAGCGCAGGAGACGAGUGCGGCGCCGGUGCGAACAAACAGAGGCAGGCGGCCAACGCGCGGGAGCGUGGCAGGACGCACAGCGUGAACACGGCCUUCACGGCGCUCCGCACGCUCAUCCCCACCGAGCCCGUGGACCGGAAGCUCUCCAAGAUAGAGACGCUGCGCCUGGCCUCCAGCUACAUCUCGCACCUAGCCAACGUGCUGCUGCUCGGGGAGGACUGCCGGGACGGACAGCCGUGUCUCUGCUACCGGAGCGUCCCGCACGGCGCCGCGGCGCUCAGCGCGCCCCCGCCGCGGCCCAUCUGCACUUUCUGCCUCAGCAACCAGAGGAAACUGGUGAGCGGCCACUUGCUGUCCCGUGCGUAGUGCUGCAUCUUUUCUCGCAGUGAUGUGCAGGCGGCAUCUUCUCUGUAGUGGAGGUCGUAUCCAGGCGCCGCUUAGGUCAAAAGUAAAGGACCACUUUGGUUUGUUAAAGCUCAGAGAUGGAGGGAAGCACUCGGCUGCUGUGUGAAGCGCCGCGGACGGCUGUUGUACAUAUAUAAAUAUGUUUACUUUGGGAAUAGAGAAUUUAAUUGACACUGAAGAGCACUUUGUUUAUGGCGCUGUGUUUUGGUUGAGCUGCAACCGGAGCCCAUGUGUAAACCUGGGGGGGGAGGGGAGGGCUAUUUUGAUCCCACAAACAGUACAAACUACCCCCACAUCUCCUAAAAAAUAAACCCACAUGAAGGCGACUGAAGAGCAGCGGCUGCUGUCAGUUGAGAGGCACGAACGAUGCCUUCAGGCGCCACAGGUGACUAGUGGGGAGGGAAGGUACUGCAUCAACACACAUCUAUUGGAUUCAUUUACAAAUGUCAUUUUUGGGGAUUUUAAUGACUUAUUGCUGCCUGGAUGCAGAGGUGAAACUCACAUCUGGACUAAACCAGAUGCUUUUUAGCAAUAAGAAAGUCUCAAAGGUUUUGCUGACUUAAACGUUUAAAUACAUUUGCAGUGUGGUUAAUGUUUACUUUUGCAUUGUUGCACAAUCACUUUAAACACUGACAGUGUGCAAAGUUUGCCUUUUGCACCAGAGAAUAUUUGCAUGUAAUUCUUUAAUCGGCAGCUCGAGAUAUUUAGUAUACAUACGGAUGACAACGUUGCACACUACCUCAGCCAGAUGUUUUAAAGCUAACGUGUAACCUGUAAUGCCUGUAUGAACAUGUACUUGAUUACAGGACUACUUUGUCCUUUGCACAUCACAGGUAUUGCGAAGAAGCUCUUCAAGAGAAUGUAUUUUUGUACAGUACAAAUAAAAAUGAUAAAUUCAGA